UGCUUUGGUACUGAGAUGAAUAAAACAAAG
rnacentral:piRNA from 1 species